rnacentral:lncRNA from 1 species
GUUAAUAUAUAUGAUUUAAGAUUUGUGAUUAAGUUUUCUGAAGUUAGAUAAAAAAAACAUAUCAUCUUCUUUUUGUUUAGCUGUUUAUUUUUUUAAAAUUCUCUUAAUUAAACUCAUAUAUUUUUGGUUUUUCUUUCCAUUAUUAUCCAAACUUAUGAAAACAUCGAAAAAGAAAAGAAAAAAACACAUCGAAAUUAUGAGAAAAAAAUUACGUAGGGGAGGUUGUAUUAUUGAAGGGACCCAGAACGAUUAAAAAGUCAAAUACCUCC